rnacentral:rRNA from 1 species
GCUUGUCUCAAAGAUUAAGCCAUGCAUGUCUAAGUAUAAACUGUUUAUACAAGUGAAACUGCGAAUGGCUCAUUAAAUCAGUUAUAAUUUAUUUGAUGGUUUUUGCUACAUGGAUAACUGUGGUAAUUCUAGAGCUAAUACAUGCAUUCAAGCCCCGACUUCUGGAAGGGGUGUAUUUAUUAGAUAAAAAUCAACUUUGUUGGUGAAUCAUAAUAACUUCUCGGACCGCAUGGCCUUGUGCUGGCGGUGCUUCAUUCAAAUAUCUGCCCUAUCAACUGUCGAUGGUAGGAUAGAGGCCUACCAUGGUUGCAACGGGUAACGGGGAAUAAGGGUUCGAUUCCGGAGAGGGAGCCUGAGAAACGGCUACCACAUCCAAGGAAGGCAGCAGG